UAAUAAUUAUUGGUAAUAAUAAUGCCCGGGAUACACGAGGCUAGUUUUUCAAGCUAGGAUAGCAAGCUGUUGUUUACCAAACUGUCCUGGCUUGCUGACCUAGCUUGGAGCAUGCUAGUUCUGUUU